rnacentral:lncRNA from 1 species
CUGUUCCGAGCCCGAAUGCACCGAUGAAGAUAGCCAUGCCAAUGUGACUUCGCCCGUCUCAUAUUUAGAUGAGAGCAAGGUUACCUUGAAAUGGUGUGUCGAAAGGGAUUGUAAGAGUAAAGGUGAAGCGUGGACCUUGCACAGGUGCAUCUGCUGCAUGACUCUUCGAGACCAACCAUGUUAUCAUUCUUACAACGAAUGUGAAAAGAAUUGCCCACCAAGUUGAAAUAAGGGUCCGCAUUACAAAGAUAUAUAAAGCAACCUAUUAUUAGAAUAAAAUAGCGUGCCGAUUGUUGCAGGUGGUACCUUUUCAUGAGUCUAUAUAUCUAUGCAAAUAAAAAGUUAGUUGCACUCGUAUGCUGCCAAUCUUAUCCUAUUUAUGCUCACUAAUUCAUGGCAGAGUAAUGCUAGACAUACGGAUGUUUCACGGGAUUUUUACGGACUCCCUAUUUUGCAAUUUAGAAUCGGGUACUGGUGCUGAAGCGACUGCUAUGCGUCGACCGUGGCACACUUGUGUUGCGCGCUCGACCAUUCGUUGCUCGGUUGUUCAGACACUCACCGGUCAGCUACACGUCCAGCCUGAAAAUUGCAAUCUGGCUUUCGUUGACCGUUUUGUUUUUUCAAAAAGUACACAAAAUUGGUGGGAGGAUCAUAAAUUCAAAAUAUAUGCAUGCAAAUAAAAUAAAAAUGAAUUUAAAAAGUUACUGAACUCAGAAAAUUUUCAUGAAUGUUCAAAAAAGUUUGUGGAUUUAAAAAAUGUUUUUGGGUUUCAUGAUAGUUCAUGGGUUCGUAAAAGUUCAUGAAUUUUAAAGAAGUUAGUGGAUUUCAUAAAGGUUUGCGAAUUUGAAGAAAAGGUCACGAAUUCUAAAAAGAUCAUGAAUUUUAAAGAAGUUUGGGAAUGCCUAUAGAAGUGGAGGUGUGUGCUACUAGUUUGGCUCUUGUUUUCAGUGGCUAGGGUUGCAUGUGCCGAUGUGCGGCAUCUAGCCUCCUCCACUUACCUUCCUUGUUGAGCUGGACCUGGCAGUCCCCUGCUCUCCAUGUACGUGCGAAAACCAUUAGAGGCAGUGUAUUUGUGCUACUCUAAUGAAUUUUUUGAUGGGGUGGUGUUACCAGUAGUUCAAGUGAGAUCGACGAUUAAGAAGGGACACCCCUGGGUAUGCGCUACUCUAACUCUUCUUCUAUUGCGAGUAUUGUGCUCUAGUGGUAAUCUCAUGAAAUAUAUCCUAAGCAUGCUCCUCGGUUGUGACAUCCUACUUAAUAGGAAUGAUAGAUUGCUCAUAUCACACUAGUAGAAAAUGGGGCUUUCGACCGAAGCAGAAAAGACCAUUAGCCUCGUUCAAAUUAAAACCGAGACCAAUGCCACGGUACGAGUUGCCAGGGCAAUAGUCCCGGUUCGUUUCGUUUCGUUAGUCCCGAUUUGGGGCAAAAACCGGGACUAAAGAUCCAGCGACUGACACGUGGCGUGCCGAUGAGCAUUAGUCCCGGUUUGUGGCCAGNNNNNNNNNNNNNNNNNNNNNNNNNNNNNNNNNNNNNNNNNNNNNNNNNNNNNNNNNNNNNNNNNNNNNNNNNNNNNNNNNNNNNNNNNNNNNNNNNNNNNNNNNNNNNNNNNNNNNNNNNNNNNNNNNNNNNNNNNNNNNNNNNNNNNNNNNNNNNNNNNNNNNNNNNNNNNNNNNNNNNNNNNNNNNNNNNNNNNNNNNNNNNNNNNNNNNNNNNNNNNNNNNNNNNNNNNNNNNNNNNNNNNNNNNNNNNNNNNNNNNNNNNNNNNNNNNNNNNNNNNNNNNCUGGCCACAAACCGGGACCAAAGAGAUGCCUAUAUAUACCCUCGCCCCUGCCCACCCUCUCCUCUGUUUUUUGGUUGUGUGAGGUGAGCAUGCCAUGCUCUUGCCACCCUUCUAUGCAUGCACAUGAGGUGUUUGAUGAAAUGACCGAGCCACACUACUUAAGCUUUCUCCUCUCCAAGCUCGACCUCCAAGCUCCAUUUUCCUCAAUAUUUGUCUAGGUUUGGCGGUGCACCAACUACACAAGUGUUCUAAAAGGUUAGCUACUUCAUCCUUUCAUCUCUCACUGUUAUUUUGAUUUAGAUGCAAAAUUUGAGCUCAAAUUAACUUCUUAGAGUCUGCUCAUGUGUAGGGUGUCAUCCCGUGCCCGUCCUCACCGUUGUCGAUCGCCCGCGCUGAUCUCGUCGCGAGCACCACCGUGGUGAGCCUCUUGUUCUUAUCUUUUUUUUAAAAUAAUUUUGUUCUUACUUGUAUGAUUUAGAUAGAUACUUGUAUAAAUUACUUACUUUUAUUAUUUUUUGGUAAUAUAUAGUGCGAUGGUUUUGGUAUCUGCCUCCGUCGGCCCUCGUCCUGUCUAUGAUUCGGAUGUGGUAUAUAUUAUCUUUUAUAAAUAUUUGUUUUAUUUAGUGUUUAUGACAAUUAUGAUGACCAACGUGACAUACAUUUUUUAAUCUAAGAGGUAUGUGAACCGGAAAUUCCAACCCACAUAGAGAUUCUUGUCGAGGAGUUAAAUUUGGUUGAAAAAGAAAACAAUUACUUGAAGAAAAAAUUAAAAAUAAUUGAGGAGAAGAAUAUGGAACUGGAGUUGCAUGUUGCCGAUGUCGUCGAUGAUCACAAGAUGAAGAUGGAUGCAAUGCGGUUGAAGAUGGAUGCAAUGCGUUUGAAGAUGAAUGAAAUGCGCUUGAAGAUUAGGAAUAUUAGAAAACAUGCCAUUGAUAAAGAGGCUUGGUAUCAUUAUGUUGUUGGGUCAAUUGUUACCUUAGUUCCGAUUUUUAUCGCAUUUAUUGUUGCAUUUAAAUGUUUACAUAGUUGUAUGUUGUUUUAUGAGAGAACUUUAUGUAAUUAUGUUUGCAAUAAUAACAUUUGAUCACUACUGUGCUUUGGUUUUAAUGUGAUGAUGAACUUGUAUUAAUUUGGUCAUUUCUAUAUUCAUGAUGUUCUGCAAUGGCUUUUUGAUAUACUUAAUUUCAUAAUAUAGAUGAACCGCCAAUGGAUGUACGGUGACCGACACACUUCGGAGUAUAUUACGAACCGAAACUAAUGCACGAGUCUCACUUAAGUUCACACAAAAUGGUAUUCUCGACCGAGGUUAGCAACCUUAUCCUUUUCAUCUGUAGUUGAUACAAAAAUAUUGCAUGUGUCCAUGUACGAUGGUAAUUUCACUAUUCAUGUAUGAUGCAGAUCGAUGCACGGAAGCGAUGGAUGUACAGCGAACGACGGGGUUCCGGAUUUAUUGCAGGCCUGCAUAAAUUUAUCAAUGUGGCUGAGGCAAACAAACUGGAUAAUUGUAUGUCUUGUCCAUGUGUUGACUGUCGAAACGUGAAGGAGUACUCUAGCUCGAAAACCAUUCAAGGCCACGUCCUUCGGAGAGGUUUCAUGCCCACAUAUUAUUGUUGGGCCAUGCACAGAGAAAGAGGGGUUAUGAUGGAAGACAAUGAAGAAGAAGAUGAUGAUGACAACUAUCCUAUGUUCACUGAAGAAUACUGUGAUACUGCAAUGGAAGACAAUGAAGAAGAAGGAGGUGAAGAACAACCAGCAUCAGAUGAGCCCGCUGAUGGCCUUGGUAGGGUCAUUUCUGAUGCAAAGAGACAAUGCGAUAUAGACAAGGAGAAGCUGAAGUUGGAGGCCAUGCUAAAGGAUCAUAAAAAUUUGUUGUACCCAAAUUGCGAAGAUGGCACCACAAAGCUCGGUACCACACUGGAACUGUUGAAAUGGAAGGCAGAAACUGGUUUAUCUGACAAGGGAUUUGAGAAGCUACUGAAAAUAUUGAAGCCAAAGCUUCCAAAGGAUAACGAAUUGCACAAGACUACGUACGAAGAAAAGAAGGCUAUAUACUCUCUUGGAUUAGAUGUGCAGAAGAUACAUGCAUGCAGACUGCAUCAUGUACCGCGGUGAGAAGUACGAGAAUAUGGACAAAUGCCUGGUAUGUACUGCAUGUCGGCACAAGAUCAGACAAGAUGACCCUGGUGAUGUUGAGGGCGAUGACAAGCCCCCAGGAAGAAGGUUCCUGCGAACGUUAUGUGGUAUGCUCAUAUAAUACCACUGUUGAAACAUCUGUUCAGAAACAAUGAGCAUGCCAAGUUGAUGCGAUGGCACAAAGAUGAGCGUAAGAAAGACGGGAAGUUGAGACACCUCGCAGAUGGGCCGCAGGGGGGGAAAUCGAGAGGGAGUGGCCGGACUUUGCACAUGACCCAAGGAACUUAUGGCUUGGUCUAAGUACAAACGGCAUGAAUCCUUUUGGGGAGCAGAGCUGCAGUCACAGCAUCUGGCCCGUGACUCUAUGUAUCUACAACCUUCCUCCUUGGUUGUGCAUGAAGCGGAAGUUCAUUAUGAUGCCAGUGCUCAUCCAAGGACCGAAGCAACCCGACAACGACAUUGAUGUAUACCUAAGGCCAUUAGUUGAUGAACUUUUGUAGUUGUGGGCCAAACCAGGUGUACGUGUGUGGGAUGAGCACAAACAACGGGAAUUUGACCUACGAGUAUUGAUGUUCGUAAGCAUCAACGAUUGGCCUGCUCUUAGUAACAUUUCAGGACAGUCAAACAAGGGAUACAAUGCAUGCACAUAGUGUUUAGAUAAGACUAAAGGUACAUAUUUGAAAAAAUCUAAGAAUGUUGUCUACCUGGGGUGUAAUCUAUUUCUUCCGACCAAUCAUCCCAUAAGAAAGAAAGGCAAGCAUUUCAAUGGUAAAGAAGAUUACCGGAAGAAGCCUAACCUCCCUACUGGUGAUGAGUUAUUGGCUAUGGUCAAGGAUUUGGAUCAAAUAGUAAUCUUUGAAAAGGGUCCUGGCGGUCAAUCUGUUCUAACAGAUGACGUAGCCGGACAUGUGCCCAUGUGGAAAAAGAAAUCUUUACUUUGGGAGCUACCCUAUUGGAAACACCUAGAGGUCCGUCCUUCAAUCGACGUGAUGCACGUGACGAAGAAUCUUUGCAUGAACCUGCUAGGCUUCCCGGGCGUGCAUGGGAAGACAAAAGAUACAAAAGAAGCACGGGAGGAGCAGCAAUGUAUGAAAGACCCAUACGACAAGAAGACUGAUAAAGGGCGUCAAUACUUAAGCAGACACGCUCUUACCAAAGCAGAGAAGGAAAUCUUUUUUGAAUGCCUGAGCAGUAUGAAGGUCCCCGCUGGCUUUUCGCCUAAUAUAAAGGGAAUAAUAAAUAUGGUAGAGAAAAAAUUCCAGAACCUGAAUUCUCAUGAUUUCCACGUGAUUAUGACGCAGUUGUUUCUGGUUGCAUUGAGGGGGCUUCUACCGGAAAAUAAUUGAUUACACAUUGUGAAGCUAUGUGCAUNCUGUAUUUCUACACAAUAUGUUCCCCUUCGAGAGGUUCAUGGAAUUAUUAAAGAAAUAUGUUCAUAACUGUGCUAGGCCAGAAGGAAGCAUCUCCAAGGGCUAUGGAACAGAGGAGGUAAUUGGGUUCUGUGUAGACUUUCUUCGUGACCUUAAGCCAAUUGGUGUUCCUGAAUCGCGACAUGAGGGGAGACUGAGUGGAAAAUGCACGCUAGGAAAGAAAGCAAUGAUAUUUAGGGACGUGCAUUCUUUCACUCAAGCACACUACACAGUUCUAGAAAGUUCCACCUUCGUGGCUUCGUAUAUCGAGGAACACAAGAAUUUUGUACGCUCUGAGUUCCCGGGGAAGGCUAUCUCCUGGAUUGAAGAAAAAUACAUGGAUACUUUUGGCAGUUGGUUGCGAGCACGUCUCACGAAUGACAACACUGUUGGAGAUCAAUUCUACUUGUUGGUCGUGUCACCUUCUUCGACUGUAUUACAUUUCCAAGGGUACGAGAUAAACGGGAAUACAUUUUACACGACCGCCCAAGAUAAAAAGAGCACCAACCAAAACAGUGGUGUCCGCUAUGAUGUGAUAGACGAGAAUGGGAAAAAGGACACAUACUAUGGUUACAUAGAGGAGAUAUGGGAACUUGACUAUGGACCUACUUUUAAGGUCCUUUUGUUUCGGUGUAGUUGGGUGAACAUGAAUGGAGAAGGGGUAAAGCUAGACCAGUUGUACGGAAUGACAAUAGUUGAUCUCAAGAAUCUUGGUUACAGAGACGAGCCAUUCGUGUCCUAGCCAAUGAUGUGGCUCAGGUUUUCUACGUGAAAGACAUGUCAUCCAGACCAAAAAAAGAAAAAAAAAGCAAAUUAAUACAAUGAACGAUGAGCCAAAGCAUCACAUAGUUCUUUCAGGGAAAAGAAACAUCAUGGGAAUCGAGGACAAGACACACAUGUCAGCAGAUUAUAAUAAGUUUGAUGAAAUUUCACCCUUCAUAGUGAGAAUUGACCCCAAGCAUCCCGUUAAAUAAUAAAGAUGCUCCAUGGUCACGGCCAAAGCUAUCAUAGGUAAAGGAUCGAAAUAUAAAUCUAUGUAAUGUAUUAAACUUUAUGUGAUGUGUACUAAUGUAUUAAACUAUGAAAGAGAUUGUCCGUUUUGUACAUGAAGUGCAUUCAUUUUUUAUCGUAACCCUCUCAACUUUUUAGCACAUGCUAUGUGGGUGAAAUGAUAAUACCAUGUGAACUUUCAACCUUUUCAGAGUUCAUUUGUAGUGCUUUUCAAUUUCAGGGUCCAUUAUCUAAAAAAAUAAGUAAAUGCAUGAAAAAUACCAAAUGAAGUCAAAAAUUGUUGAAAAUUUAUGAUGUGUCUUUGAAUGGUGCUAUCUGAACACACAAAAAGUAUGGAUUUCAAAUAAGUUCAAAGAAUGAAAUCCCUUUGUAAGAGAUGAGUUCUCGUUCGAAACUGUGAUACUUCGAAAGAGAUUAUCCGUUUUGUACAAGAAGUGCAUCCAGUUUUUGUCGUAACCCUCUCAACUUAUUAGCACAUUCUAUGUGGGUGAAAUGAUGAUACCAUGUCAACUUUCAACCUUUUCAGAGUUCAUUUGUAGUGCUUUUCAAUUUCAUGGUGAAUUAGCUCAAAAAAAUAAGUAAAUGCAUGAAAAAUGCCAAAUGAAGUCAGAAAUUGUUGAAAAAUUAUGAUGUUCCUUUGAAUGGUGCAUUUUGAACAAACAAAAAGUAUGGAGUUCAAAUAAGUUCAAAAGAAUGAAAUCCCUUUGAAAGAGAUGAGUUCUCGCUCGAAACCCUAAUACUUCGAAAGAGAUUGUUGGUUUUGUACACGAAGUGCAUCCAGUUUUUGUCAUAACCCUCUCAACUUUUUAUCACAUGCUAUGUGUGUGAAAUGAUGAUACCAUGCCAACUUUCAACCUUUUCAGAGUUCAUUUGUAGUGCUUUUCAGUUCCAGGGUCAAUUAGCUCAAAAAAAAUAAGUAAAUGCAUGAAAAAUACCAAAUGAAGUCAGAAAUUUUGAAAAUUUAUGAUGUGCCAUUGAAUGGUGCAUUUUGCACACACAAAAAGUUUGGAGUUCAAAUAAAUUCAAAAAAUGAAAUCCCUUUGUAAGAGAUAAGUUCUCGUUCGAAACCCUCAUACUUCAAAAGAGAUUGUCCGUUUUGUACACGAAGUGCAUCCAGUUUUUGUCGUAACCCUCUCAACUUUUUAGCACAUGCUAUAUGAGUGAAAUGAUGAUACCAUGCCAACUUUCAACAUUUUCACAGUUCAUUUGUAGUGCUUUCAAUUUCAGGGUCAGUUAGCUCUAAAAAAGUAAAUACAUGAAAAAUACCAAAUGAAGUCUGAAAUUGUUGAAAAAUUAUGAUGUGCCUUUGAAUGGUGCAUUUUGAAAACACAAAAACUAUGAAGUUCAAAUAAGUUCAAAAAUCAAAUCCCUUUGUAAGAGAUGAGUUCUCGUUCGAAACCCUAAUACUUCGAAAGAGAUUGUCCGUUUUCUACAUGAAAUGCAUCCAUUUUUUGUAGUAAUCGUCUCAAAUUUUUGGCACAUGCUACGUGGGUGAAAUGAUGAUACCAUGCCAACUUUCAAUAUUUUUAGAGUUUAUUUGUAGUGCUUUUCAAUUUCAGGGUCAAUUAGCUCAAAAAAAAUAGUAAAUGCAUGAAAAAUACCAAAUGAAGUCAGAAAUUGUUGAAAAAUUAUGAUGUGCCUUUGAAUGGUGCAUUUUGAACACACAAAAAUUCUGAAGUUCAAAUAAGUUCAAAAUACUAAAAUCCCUUUGUAACACAUGAGUUUUCGUUUGAAACACUGAUAGUUCGAAAGAGAUUGUCCGUUUUGUACACGAAGUGCAUCCAGUUUUUGUCGUAACCCUCUCAACUUUUUAGUACAUGCUAUGUGGGUGAAAUGAUGAUACCGUGCCAACUUUCAAUCUUUUUAGAAUUCAUUUGUAGUGCUUUUCAAUUUUCGGGUCAAUUAGCUGAAAAAAUAAGUAAAUGCAUGAAAAAUACCAAAUGAAGUGAGAAAUUGUUGAAAAUUUAUGAUGUCAACUAAAAAGAAUCAACUAAAACAUUAACUAAAAAGAAUGAACUAAAAUUAUCAAAGCGUUUUAUUUGUUUAAAAGAAUCAAGUAAAACAUUAACUAAAAGAAAAAGAAAAAAAUAUCAACUCAAAAUAAUUUUCAUAAAGUUUUUUUUGUUAAAAUCUUUAUAGAAAAGUAAAAUGAAAGAUAAAAAAAUAUUUAAUAUAAAGAAUUAAAAUAUAAACUAGGACUAAAAAUUAUUAAAGUAAAAAAAUGCCGCCUAUUGAGACAUCACGUCGUGCAUAAGAGUAUAAACCCUACACGAUAGAUGGGCCAGGAUGCUAGCCCGCAGGCCCAAUAGGCCCAUCAGGCAAAGAGGGGAAUUAGGCCCUUAGGCCUACUAUAGAGUGGACUUUAAAGAGCUGGCGCGGCGGUGCUUAUAAAGCCCUACGAGCGCUCCUCGCUCGACUAGGUGGGACUAAACAUUGUCGUGCCCCGCGCCGGUGCCAGCCCCAGAUCUUUAGUCCCGGGUUGGGGCUCGAACUGAGACUAAAGACCCCCUUUAGUCCCGGUUGGAGCCACCAACCGGGACUAAAGGUCCAUGCUUCCCGUCUUUUGGGCUGCCGAAAAAGGGCCUUUAGUCCCGGGUUGGGUCUCCAACCGGGACUAAAGGGGGGUCUUUAGUCCCGGUUUGAGACCCAACCUGGGACCAAAGGUCCUACUAUAUAUACAGAUUGACGAAAAUUCAAAUCCAAAUCGCCAGUUUCAUUCUCUUUUUCCUCUCACUCGCCUGCAGCACCGGACAAACUCCUCGACGCCGCCAGGCUACGCGUCGUCGCCGACGCCCUGCCGUCCUCCUCGCCGGCAACGUACCUCCUCGUGUGCCCUCCUCCCCGUCGCUGAUGCCCUGCCGUCCUCCUCGCAGGUGCCGUCGUCCUCGCCGAUGUCGUCCUCCUUGCCGGUGUCAUGCUCCUCCUCGCCUCCGGCGUCCUCCUCCAACAUCCCCUGUCGCCGGUGAGCCUCUCUCCUCUCCUCUCGAUCGAUCGUCGACAUGCUUAAGUAGUGUUUUGUAUAGAGAUGCUUCAUUAUUUUGUAUACAGAUGCUUAAGUGUUUUGUAGAUUAUUGCUUAAUUUUGCUUUUGUAUAUGCUUAAGUGUUAUUUAUAGCAUAUUUGGUGAAUUUUCUUUUAAGUGUAGGUUAAGCUAGAGGAAACAACAUUGUUAGUGUCAGUUUAGGUCACACUUAGUGUUAAAUUUAUAGGUUAUUGUUAGUUUAGGUUAAGUAGGUUUCUUUUAUGUUAAGUAAGUAAUUAGUUUAGGGCCUUUUUUCAUUUCUUUUAUGUUAAGUUUGCUACUCGUUUUUCUCUCUUAAUAUUUUAGAACUAUUUGCAGAAGUUUGAUGAAUUUUGACAUUUGCAAAAGUUUGUUAUGUAUUUGCAUUAUACACACUUAUUCUCAUAAAACAACAUACAAAUAUCUAGCUAAAGCAUUUAAAUGCUACAACAAAUGCGAUCAAAAUCGCAACUAAGGUAAUAAUUAAUCCAACAACAUAAUGAUACCAAGCCUCUUUAUUAACGGCAUAUUUUUUAAUCUUUCUAAUCUUUAAGCGCAUUGCAUCCAUCUUGAUCUUGUGAUCAUCGAUGACAUCGGCAACAUACAACUCUAAUUUCAUCGUCUCUUCUUCAAUUAUUUUCUAUUUUAAUUUCAAUUACUCGUUUUCUUUUUUAACUAAGUUUAACUUCUCGAUAAGAGGGUCGGUUGCAAUUUCUGGUUCACAUACCUCCCUAAUAUAAAUAUCUAUGUCAACUUGAUGGGCAUAAUUGUCAUAAACACUAAAUGCAACAAAUAGUUAUAAAAGAUACUAUACCACAUCCGAAUCAUAAACCGAACGAGGGCCGACGGGGACAGAUAUCAAAACCAUGGCACUAUGUAUAGCAAAAAAUGAUACAAGUAAGAAAAUUAUACAAGCAACUAUCUAAAUAAUGCAAAUAAGAUUUUUUCACAAAAAAGAUAAGAACAAGAGUCUCACAAAGGUGGUGCCGGCGACGGGCCGGUGCAGGCGAUCAACGGCAAUGAGGAUGGGGAUGGGAAGACAGUAAGUAAACCACACCUACACAUAUGCGAACUAAGAAGUUAAUUUGAGCUAAAAUCGCAUAUUAAUCAAAUAAACUCCCACAUAAAUACUCCCAAACUAAAACCCACAACUGAUCACUAUACUUAUAUAGCAUGAAACAAGCUAAAUUAGCAAUGAGAGGAGAAAGCAUGAAGUUACUAACCUUUUACAACCCUUGGAUAGAUGGGGUGCCUCAAAUCUUGACAAAUGUUGGCGAAAAUCAAGGAUGAGAUCUCGAGCUAUGGGGAAAACAGAGAGGAGAAAACAGAGAGGAUGAGCUCAAGCUCGGGCUGGACGAGGGGUUUUUUAUAGGGACAUCUUUAGUUCGUGUUGUUUAUAUAGAACGGGACUAAAGGUACACCUCUAGUCCCGGUUGGUAUUCAAAACAGGACGAAAUGGGCUCGCUGGGACCCCAGCCUGCCACCACCCCUUUACUCCCGGUUAAUAUCAACAAUCGGGACUAAAGGUCACAAAUGAACCGGGACUAAUGUUGGCCAUGCCCCCGGCCACUCCUAGCCGUUCAGACCAGGACUAAUGAUCUCAUUAGUCCCGGUCCGAAAUCAAACUAGGAUGAAUGCUCCAGACAAAAGGUCAUUUUUCUACUAGUGUGUGGACGACCGAGGGAGUGAGACAAGGCAUCAUCAGAUGGUAGGUGAGGUCGAAAGUGACAGCAAAUAAGCAAUCAUGUGUGUGUGGGGGGUCGCACCAGGAAGAAGGAACGAGCUAAUGGGUGGUUGAUUAACUAGGGCUUCUUUCCUUUCGUCCUGAGAUGGUUUCGAUUGGAUAGUAGAGAUUAAGAUGUCAAACAACAUAUCAUAUGUGCUUUACUAAUAGUCAUUAAGAUAUCGGCAUUACAUCCCAUUUUCUACUCACCUAAACACAAUAUUCUUUGUCAUUGAUUAGUUUUUGUGUGUUUGUCGACCAUGGCAACACACGGGCAUUAUACAAGUAUUAGUAAUUUUGUAUCUGCAAUGCAUGUUGUUAUCAGGUAGAGUAGUAAUUAAGACUUAAAAAGGUAGGAUAUUAAUUGCAUGACACGGUAUUAUAUAUGAUAUGUUUCUAGGAAAGAUAGUAUUAAUUACACAAUUAGUAUUAUUGCUAAUAUUUGGUAUGAUAUUGAUUACAUGCUAAACAUGUUGAGGGAUUAACAUAGGAGCAAUAUAGGUCGUUAGAUGCACGUCAUUUCAUGGUUGGGAUUAGUUGGAUGUGCCCCUUUGGAUAUUUUUAUAUUGGUAUAGAUAUAGAUAAAAUAUGACAAUUAAUGCAUAUGACGGAGUUAAUUAGAAGGGUACCCCUUAUAUAUACUGAGGCGAGGUUGAGGUGUGCCAUUGCUUCAGAUUUCAUCUAACCAUCUCAUAAUUUCGUAUAUAGUUCGUAGAAAAUAUGAAGGGGAUUGUGAUUGUUGUUUUNACAACGAAUGUGAAAAGAAUUGCCCACCAAGUUGAAAUAAGGGUCCGCAUUACAAAGAUAUAUAAAGCAACCUAUUAUUAGAAUAAAAUAGCGUGCUGAUUGUUGCGGGUGGUACCUUUUCAUGAGUCUAUAUAUCUAUGCAAAUAAAAAGUUAGUUGCACUCGUAUGCUGCCAAUCUUAUCUUAUUUAUGCUCACUAAUUCAUGGUAGAGUAAUGCUAGACAUACCGUUGUUUCACGGGAUUU